CCCCACGAGGACUUGGCAGCAAAUGAAGUACAAAAAUAUAGUUUAAACAGCAAAUCGAAAAAAUGCAGAGGCCCGGCAGACUGGAGGGGGUCCACCACCUGCAGCCCUCACAGAGGCUGAGGAGAUGGCCCUCAGCCAACAGAGUAUGCGUCCUGUGGCUGAGGGCAUCCCUGGGGGGAGCUCCUCUGAUCCCCCCCACCCCCCAGGAUAGAAGUGCCUUUACAGUAUAAGAGUUACUGAUGGCGUCAUCGCCCUACUUGAACCAGAUGCCCUCACCAACCUCCAUGCAAUUGUAACAAUUCA